rnacentral:rRNA from 1 species
ACUAUAGCAGUAUUAAAGGCACGCCUGGCCCAGUGAAUUAAAUUUUUAACGGCCGCGGUAUCCUAACCGUGCAAAGGUAGCGCAAUCACUUAGUUCUUUAAAUAAGGACUAGUAUGAACGGCACCAUGAGGAUCCACUUGUCUCUCAUAAUAAGCCUAUGAAACUGAUCUUCCAGUACAAAAGCUGGAAUAAACACACAAGACGAGAAGACCCUGUGGAGCUUUAAACCAAACUCACCAUACAUGAGCUGCGGUUUUUAGUUGGGGCGACUCUGGAGCAAAACAAAACCUCCAAACUUUACAUCCUUAGGCCAACAUGCCACCAUUACCCCCCCCCACGACCCAAUAUAAUUGAAUAAUGAACCAAGUUACCCCAGGGAUAACAGCGCCAUCUUCUUCUAAAGUCCCUAUCGCCAAAAAGGUUUACGACCUCCAUGUUGGAUCAGGGUACCCAAAUGGUGCAGCCGCUAUUAAAGGUUCGUUUGUUCAACGAUUAACAACCCUACGUGAUUGGCUAAACCACCCGAAUUGUUUUUUGUUUAUUCAAAAUAAAAUCCUUACGUGACUGAAAAAACACCAAACAGAUAAACACCAAAACCUAAAUACCUCCACUCUUUGAGCCGGCGGGAGGCGGCUACCCAAUUCUGUAUAAACAUAUUUUUUUGAUUUUUGCCAA